rnacentral:rRNA from 1 species
GGGGAAUCUUGCGCAAUGCGCGAAAGCGUGACGCAGCAACGCCGCGUGGGCGAAGAAGGCCUUCGGGUCGUAAAGCCCUUUCAGCAGGGACGAAGCUCCGGCAGCGAAUAGCUGUCCGGAGUGACGGUACCUGCAGAAGAAGCCCCGGCUAACUACGUGCCAACAGCCGCGGUAAUACGUAGGGGGCUAGCGUUGUCCGGAAUCAUUGGGCGUAAAGAGCGCGUAGGCGGCCAGAUAAGUCCGGUGUGAAAGUCACAGGCUCAACCUGUGAAUGCCGCUGGAAACUGUCUGGCUAGAGUCCGGAAGGGGCGAGUGGAAUUCCUGGUGUAGCGGUGAAAUGCGCAGAUAUCAGGAGGAACACCAAUAGCGAAGGCAGCUCGCUGGGACGGUACUGACGCUGAGGCGCGAAAGCGUGGGGAGCAAAC